rnacentral:pre_miRNA from 1 species
UCUGGCAAUUGAGGUGGUGCCUUAAUUAUUUCUGGACACUUAUACAAUAGCUAGAAUCUAACAUUAUCCACAGUAUGCUUAGAUCAUAGUCAUGGUAAAAUUUAAAAUUAUUUUACAUAUUAAGCUUGUGCUAA